rnacentral:tRNA from 1 species
GCCGACGUGGUGGAAUUGGUAGACACGCUAUCUUGAGGGGGUAGUGGGGGUAACCCCGUGCCAGUUCAAAUCUGGCCGUCGGCACCA